rnacentral:rRNA from 1 species
UACGGAGGGAGCUAGCGUUGUUCGGAAUUACUGGGCGUAAAGCGCACGUAGGCGGCUUUUAAGUCAGGGGUGAAAUCCCGGGGCUCAACCCCGGAACUGCCCUUGAAACUGGGAAGCUAGAAUCUUGGAGAGGCGAGUGGAAUUCCGAGUGUAGAGGUGAAAUUCGUAGAUAUUCGGAAGAACACCAGUGGCGAAGGCGACUCGCUGGACAAGUAUUGACGCUGAGGUGCGAAAGCGUGGGGAGCAAACAGG